rnacentral:rRNA from 1 species
UACGAACCGUACAAACGUUAUUCGGAAUCACUGGGCUUAAAGGGUGCGUAGGCGGCCAUGUAAGUGGGGUGUGAAAUCCCUCGGCUCAACCGAGGAACUGCGCUCCAUACUGCAUGGCUUGAGGGAGGUAGGGGUCUGUGGAACUUCUGGUGGAGCGGUGAAAUGCGUUGAUAUCAGAAGGAACGCCGGUGGCGAAAGCGACCCACUGGAUCUCUACUGACGCUGAGGCGCGAAAGCUAGGGGAGCAAACGGG